rnacentral:rRNA from 1 species
AGAAUUUGAUCCUGGUUCAGGAUUAAUGCUAGCGGCGUGCCUAAGGUAUGCAAGUCGAACGAACAAUUACAUCUCUAGCUUGCUAGAACCGUGAUUGUUAGUGGCGAACGGCUGAGUAAUACAUAGGAAUCUACCCCUAACUUGAGGAUAACUAACUGAAAGGUUAGCUAAUACUCAAUGUGGAGGAAACUCUAAAGAUUUAUCGGUUAGGGAGGAGCCUGUAGCCUAUCAGCUAGUUGGUGGGGUAAAUGCCCACCAAGGCUAUGACGGGUACCGGGCCUGAGAGGGCGAACCGGCAGAGGGGCACUGAGACACGGGCCUCACUCCUACGGGAGGCAGCAAUCGGGAAUCUUGCGCAAUGGACGAAAGUCUGACGCAGCGACGCCGCGUGGAGGAUGAAUGCCUUCGGGUUGUAAACUCACGUUAAAAAGCACCGGCUAACUACGUGCCAGCAGCAGCGGUCAUACGUAGGGUGCAAGCAUUAUCCGGAUUUACUGGGCGUAAAGAGUUCUGUAGGCGGUAGUAUAAGUUGGAGGUUAAAUCUUUCGGCCUAACCGAAAGGCUGCUUUCAAUACUGUAUUACUAGAGUCAGCUAGGGGACAGUGGAAUUCGUGGUGAAGCAGUGAAAUGCGUUGAUAUCACGAGGAACACCAAGGGGGAAGCCAACUGUCUGGGGCUGUACUGACGCUAAGAGACGAAAGCGUGGGGAGCGAACGGGAUUAGAUACCCCGGUAGUCCACGCUGUAAACGAUGCCUGCUAGAUACUUGGUCUUUAGACUGAGCGUCGAAGCUAACGCGUUAAGCAGGCCGCCUGGGGAGUACUGUCGCAAGGCUGAAACUCAAAGGAAUUGGCGGGGUCCCGCACAAGCGGUGGAGCAUGCUCUUUAAUUG